rnacentral:ncRNA from 2 species
AUGUUAUCAAGAAAGGUGGAGGGAUUAGACCCAAAGAAACCUUAGCAACCCUUUGACUUGUCAGAGAAGGUGCUGCAUUCUACCUCAAAUUACAACUUGAGGAUAGAUAACAA